CGCACUAGUAGUUGUGGAAGCCAUCUCGU
rnacentral:sRNA from 1 species